AUGGAUUCGUUACUGCCUUGUCUUGCAGAAGAGGACAAGUCACGACUGUGCUUCCGUUUGCUGAUCUCUGGAAAGGCAACCCUGAUGCUUGUGGCGGGUGAACCCCUGGCCAUGGGUUGGAGAGACGUGAGUCCUCUGUGGUCGCCGGCAAUAAACCCUGCAAUUUGGCAUACUUUUGUUCUGGUGUUGACUUUCUGUGCUCAGUUCGAUAUAAUACUGGUAUAGAUAUUUUUUACUGAUGUAGAUUUCCUUUGUAGAUGCAAAUUUUCUUU
rnacentral:lncRNA from 13 species